AUUGAACGCUGGCGGCAGGCCUAACACAUGCAAGUCGAGCGAGCGGCGGACGGGUGAGUAAUGUCUGGGAAACUGCCUGAUGGAGGGGGAUAACUACUGGAAACGGUAGCUAAUACCGCAUACCAUCAGAUUGGCCCAGGUGGGCUGAGCUAGUAGGUGGGGUAACGGCGCAACUAGGCUACGAGCCCUAGCUGGUCUGCGAGGAUGACCAGCCACACUGGAACUGAGACACGGUCCAGACUCCAACGGGAGGCAGCGGUGGGGAAUAGUGCACAAUGGGCGCAAGCCUGAUGCGGCCAUGCCGCGUGUGUGAAGAAGGCCUUCGGGUUGUAAAGCACUUUCAGCGGGGAGGCGUUACCCGCAGAAGAAGCACCGGCUAACUCCGUGCCAGCAGCCGCGGUAAUUC
rnacentral:rRNA from 1 species